CCGAGACAAACGCUUCCAGCAAUUCAUCCGGAAAGUGACCCGCUCCGCCGUGCUCAAGCGGUACGGGGUACAGGAGUGCAUCCUGCUGGUGACUCAGCGCAUCACCAAGUACCCGGUACUCAUCAGCCGCAUCCUGCAGCAUUCCCACGGGAUCGAGGAGGAGCGCCAGGACCUGACCACAGCACUGGGGUUAGUGAAGGAGCUACUGUCCAAUGUGGACCAGGAUAUUUAUGACCUGGAGAAAGGGGCCCGUCUGCAGGAGAUCUACAACCGCAUGGACCCUCGGGCCCAAACCCCAGUGCCUGGCAAGGGCCCCUUUGGCCGAGAGGAACUUCUGCGGCGCAGACUCAUCCACGAUGGCUGCCUGCUCUGGAAGACAGCGACAGGGCGCUUCAAAGAUGUGCUAGUGCUGCUGAUGACAGAUGUACUGGUGUUUCUCCAGGAAAAGGACCAGAAGUACAUCUUUCCUACCCUGGACAAGCCCUCAGUGGUAUCGCUGCAGAAUCUAAUCGUACGGGACAUUGCCAACCAGGAGAAAGGGAUGUUUCUCAUCAGCGCAGCCCCACCUGAGAUGUACGAGGUGUACACAGCAUCCCGGGAUGACCGGAGCACCUGGAUCCGGGUCAUUCAGCAGAGCGUGCGCUUUGGAGUUGCAGCAGAAGGACCGGGCACUGGUGGAGCUGCUGCGAGAGAAGGUCGGGCUGUUUGCUGAGAUGACCCAUUUCCAGGCCGAAGAGGAUGG
rnacentral:sRNA from 1 species